GUGUGUGUUCACUUUAUUUCUUUUUGUACGGAUAUGCUUUGUUUUCCAUUUUUGUUUUUACUUGUCUAAUAAAUACCUUCAAGUUCAUACCAAUUUGAAGAAAAUGAGUUAUGUAACAAAAUAAAGGAAGUGAAAACUAGAGGGAAGUUACAUUCCUCUAAAGCUUUCAUAACUGAACAGAUGCUGUGAAGUUAGUGAUGCAAAAAAUCUUCUACAAGCCUGGUUACACUUCACUGAAAUAUCUUGAGUUGCUUUAUCUUUAUGAUGAGUCAAAGUGGACGAUAGUGGCAAGAUCACUGCUUUCUUUUUCAGUAACUCUCGGUGAACUGACAGGAAUUUGCAAAAACAAAGAUGAAACUGGUUAUACUUUCCCUCACUACAUGUUGAAAACAGCUAAAGCAAGUUGUCCAUGAUACUAGUCACCGCCUUUCCCUUGGGCCAUAUACACUGCACCAUCCUGCAAGUCAGCUCCUAAUAGAGUCUUUGAUUGGCGUUGGUGUUGACUUGGCAUGUUAAGAAUAGGUAAGUGACACACAGGUAUGUCUAGGAAAUGGAAGGCUCUUAUUUCUCUGGAAAUUUUGCAAAGAAACAUUAUGGACCACUAUGCUCAUCUUAUCUCCAUAUUUCUACUGAUGCUGAAAGCUUGACUUUUCUGUGCACUGGUGCUGAAUUGAAUCUUGGAGACAGAGUUUUGGGUGAAGUAGAAAAGUAGCUUUAUUGCUUUGCCAGGUAAAAGGGGACACAGUAGGCUAAUGCCCUCAAAACUGUGUGUCCCAACUUGGGGAACAUAGUGAGAAGUUUUAUAGUAAUUGUUCAAAGUGGGCAUGAUCAGCUUGUGCACAUCUUUCUAAUGAGCUGGUAGUGAGGUUAGCAGGAGUCAAUAUCAUCAACCUUCAGGUCCAACUGGGGUCUACAUGCUUUUGGCAGCAUUCCAUCGACAAUUGUUAACUUCUUCCACCUGGAAGGGGUUACAGUAUUUGCAAAAUAGCUCAAAGCUAUUGUUGUGCAUGAGGCUUCCCUAGUGGCUCAGUGGUAAAGAAUACUGCUAGUGCUGGAGACAUACGUCUGAUCCCUGGGUUGGGAAGAUUCCCUGGAGAAGGAAAUGACAACCCACUCCAAUAAUCUUGCCUGGGAAAUCCCAUGGACAGAGGAGCUUGUCAGACUACAGGCCAUGGGGUCACAAAAGAGUCGGAUGUGACUUAGCACCUAAACAAAAACAACAUUUUAUCCCUUGGUGGGGAAAUAGGACCUUGCCCCGAGGCUGCUCCUGAUUGUUAGUUUCUCCUGAGUCUCACAUCCUCUCCCUUCCCCAGUUAUCAACUGUUUGAAUCUGCUCUUUGGAACUCAGGGAAGGUCAUGGAGGAUAAAUGAAGGCUAUUUCCGAUCAACAAAGAAACAGAAGACAUGAAAGGC
rnacentral:lncRNA from 1 species